rnacentral:lncRNA from 1 species
CUGCCCUGACUUUUGUUUUGUCCGCACACGGUGCUCCGUUGCGGAGUUAAUUUCCUGCAGCACGCCUCACGUGGAUGGCGGUGGAGGACGACCACUGCACUUCACAUGCUGCGGAGCAUGCUGUGGUGCCCCUUCUGUUGGUGGCGGCCCGGCGACCAGACGAUGGACGUCGGCCGUGCCACCCCUCGACGCAACUGGCAGCCGACCUGGUCCUCCGCGACAUGACCGACGGCGGCCCCGCUCCCCUGUGAAGGCAACGCCCGGCCCCUCCCUGUCUUCUCUCUCAUCAUCUCCUCCGGCGCGGUGCCGUCCUUGUCGGCCUGUGCGCGUCCUCCUCGUCGACUCAGAACCGCGACCUGUCCACGAUAUGAUGCAUCAGCUUAGUUGUUGGUGGCUCAUCGGCACUCCCCAUGGUCUUUCUAUCGGAUGGCGGCCCCAGCGACAGAGCUGCAAGCUUCGCACGAAGCUGCAGAAGAAGGCCACUUACACGGACAUGAAGGCC